CGCCGCGUGAGGGAGGAAGGCCUGUGGGUUGUAAACCUCUUUUCUCAGGGAAGAAGUUCUGACGGUACCUGAGGAAUCAGCAUCGGCUAACUCCGUGCCAGCAGCCGCGGUAAGACGGAGGAUGCAAGCGUUAUCCGGAAUUAUUGGGCGUAAAGCGUCCGUAGGCGGUUCAGAAAGUCUGCUGUUAAAGCUCACAGCUCAACUGUGAAUCGGCAGUGGAAACUUCUGGACUAGAGAGUGGUAGGGGUAGAGGGAAUUCCUAGUGUAGCGGUGAAAUGCGUAGAUAUUAGGAAGAACACCAGUGGCGAAGGCGCUCUACUGGACCAUUACUGACGCUGAUGGACGAAAGCUAGGGGAGCGAAAGGGAUUAGAUACCCCUGUAGUCCUAGCUGUAAACGAU
rnacentral:rRNA from 1 species